rnacentral:rRNA from 1 species
AGAGUUUGAUCCUGGUUCUAAGUGUACGCUGGCGGCGUGCCUAACACAUGCAAGUCGAACGAGAACGGAUUACAGCUUGCUGUAAUUGUCAGCUAAGUGGCGCACGGGUGAGUAAUAUAUAGUUAAUCUGCCCCAAAGAAGAGAAUAAUUGUUGGAAACGACUUGUAAUGCUCUAUAUGCCUUUAUCACAUAAGUGAGCAAGGGAAAUAUUUAUAGCUUUGGGAUGAGACUGUACGGUAUCAGCUAGUUGGUGAGGUAAUGGCUCACCAAGGCUAUGACAUCUAACUGGUUUGAGAGGAUGAUCAGUCACACUGGAACUGAGACACGGUCCAGACUCCUACGGGAGGCAGCAGUGGGGAAUAUUGCACAAUGGAGGAAACUCUGAUGCAGCAACGCCGCGUGGAGGAUGACACAUUUCGGUGCGUAAACUCCUUUUAUAUGAGAAGAUAAUGACGGUAUCAUAUGAAUAAGCACCGGCUAACUCCGUGCCAGCAGCCGCGGUAAUACGGGGGGUGCAAGCGUUACUCGGAAUCACUGGGCGUAAAGAGCAUGUAGGCUGGUAAUUAAGUUGGAAGUGAAAUCCUAUGGCUCAA